GAUCCUGGCUUAGGAUGAACGCUAGCUACAGGCUUAACACAUGCAAGUCGAGGGCAGCAUAUCGAAGCUUGCUUUGAUAGAUGGCGACCGGCGCACGGGUGAGUAACGCGUAUCCAACCUUCCCUAUAGUAGAGAAUAGCCCGGCGAAAGUCGGAUUAAUGCUCUAUGUUGUAUUUAGAAGACAUCUGAAGAAUACCAAAGGUUUACCGCUAUAGGAUGGGGAUGCGUCUGAUUAGGUAGUAGGCGGGGUAACGGCCCACCUAGCCGACGAUCAGUAGGGGUUCUGAGAGGAAGGUCCCCCACAUUGGAACUGAGACACGGUCCAAACUCCUACGGGAGGCAGCAGUGAGGAAUAUUGGUCAAUGGACGAAAGUCUGAACCAGCCAAGUAAGCGUGCAGGAUGACGGCCCUAUGGGUUGUAAACUGCUUUUAUAUAGGGAUAAAGUCGGGGACGUGUCCCCGUUUGUAGGUACUAUAUGAAUAAGGACCGGCUAAUUCCGUGCCAGCAGCGGC
rnacentral:rRNA from 1 species